ensembl:misc_RNA Y_RNA Y RNA
GGCUGGUCUGAGUGCAGUGGUGUUUACAACUAAUUGAUCACAACCAGUUACAGAUGUCUUUGUUCCUUCUCUAAUCCCAUUGCUUCACUUGACUAACCUUAA